GUGCAGAAUUACUGCCCUUGAUUAUUUUUUUCCAUACACGCAGGAAACUUGCAAUCUUCUUGAAACUGUGGCCAGCUGCUCAGACACCAUUAUUGCUGCUUUACCUCCCCGCAGCUCCAGCGGUCAGCAUUUGCUUUAGAGGUGCACUCUCCAUCUCAUAUCAAGGCACAACCGCAGGACUGCCUCUUGUGCUGCUGUCAGUAUAACCACAGCUGUUCUCAUUCUGAAACAUUCAACAAAGUCCCGGGUGUUUCUUAUGUGGAGAUGCUAAUCAAGGUACUGUUUUG
rnacentral:lncRNA from 1 species